rfam:Stegodyphus mimosarum contig64974, whole genome shotgun sequence.
GCCUUCGUGGUGUAGUUGUCAGUACGCUCGACGCGUAACCGAGAGCUCCGUGGUUCGAUUCCCGGAGGAGGCG